GACGAACGCUGGCGGCGUGCUUAACACAUGCAAGUCGAACGGACAGGCCCUGCUUUUGUUGGUUGCUCGAUUGGCGAACGGGUGAGUAACACGUGAGUAACCUGCCCUUGACUUUGGGAUAACUUCAGGAAACUGCGGCUAAUAUCGGAUAGGAUCUCCUGCUGCAUGUUGUGGGUUGGUAAGUUUCGGCGUUUGUGGAUGUUCUCGCGGCUUAUCAGCUUGUUUGUGUGGUAGUUGCUUACCAAGGGUUUGACGGGUAGCCGGCCUGAGAGGGUUGCCGGCCACAUUGGGACUGAGAUACGGCCCAGACGCGUACGGGAGGCAGCAGGGGGGAGUAUUACACAAUAGGCGGAAGCCUGAUACAGAGACGCCGCGUGCGGGAUGACGGGCUUCGGGUUAUGAACAGAUGUCGACUGAGACGAAGAGUGAGUGACGGUAAUGGGUAAAGAAGCACCGGCUAACUACGUG
rnacentral:rRNA from 1 species